rnacentral:lncRNA from 1 species
ACAGAUCAAAAUUACAAAAUAGCCCGACACCGCCUCCAGAAUUUCAUCUCUCUCAUUCUGUUUUCAUUAUAUUCUCCUCUAACGAGCAUCAACAGAACACACCCAUUCAGCCAGCCCCCUCCAUUAGAAAUAACGAAAGGAAAAAAAAAAAUCCUAAAAAAAAUUACACAGCUGUGUUAAUUUUUUUAAUUUUUUAGGUAAAUCUCGUUUAUUUAGCUGAAAAUAAUUCGCCUUCAUUGUUGUUUUUCUGAAACUCAACGUUGUUUUGAAGAUUUGAGCUGGGUUUUUAUUUGCGAUUAAUUCAAUGUCUUUUAAAAUGCGUUUUUGUGCAAAAGGGAAUGAUUCUAUUGAGUGGGGUUGUUUUAUUUUUCAAAUUUUUAUUGGUCUUGGCUUCAUUGAUUUGAAAUAAUAGAAGGAUUGUAAUGAGCUGGAAGAUCAGCUAGAAUAAUCAAUGCAAAUUAAUGUUUAUGGGAAUUUAACUUUUGUAAUUGUAAUUGUUUAAUUUGAUAUACUGGGUAAUGUGGAUUUUAUUUCCCUAUUGAGUAAUCCUUAAUGUGUAAGUGUAAAUAUAAGUUGCUCUUUUUCAAUUUUUGGAUUUUGGGUUUGAUUGGCCUAGACUAAGAUGUGUAUAAAUGGUUUACGUGAUUCAGAGGCCAUUGUCUGGUAUAAGUGCAGCUGCAGGUGCUAGGAUUCAAGUCUGGAGAGCUGCCACUCCUUGCAAAAAUGUGCAAAGGGUAGCACCUGGUUAAGAUGGGUGUUCAUAGGUUUUUCCCUUGUAAUGAUGUUAGCUAAACAAAAGGAAACACUAUAUAAGUGUAGUUGAGAAAAUGAUAGGAAGAUGAAUAGUAGUUGAGACAUGGCUAUACCUUUUCAUACAUGUUAAUUUAUGCUGAAUGAUAAGAUCGGGAAUAAUAGUCUUAACAAUAUUUCAAUAUUUGUAUUUAGAUGGAGAAUGAGCUAUGUGCUGCUG